UCGCCAUGCCACCAGUAUCACCAUUGCCAUCCCCAGGUAACUCAGCCAUUUCAAGGAGAAAACCAAUGCCACGGAUGCCACUAUUACCACCACUGCCAACCUCAGGUAUUCGACCAAUUGGGCUUUAGCUCAGUGGAGGGAGUUAUCCAGCUAUAUUGGCCUUGCUGUUCAAACCCUGAUUUUGUCCACUCUUUCAAAGGAUAAUGGGAUUUUGCAGUUUGAAACAUGUGGCUUAGCUAGAACUCCAACUUUUAUUUAUCAAGUGGUGCUGAUAAUUGAUGCAAUACUUGCCAAUAUAGCUGCUUAAAAUUUGGUCCCUUCACGUCAAAUUGAUGGUUUCCUAAUUGAAGAGAUGAGCAAGACUGGUAAAGAAGGCAUGCUGCAAGAUGAGUUGGGUGCGUUAUUUAAGUCACUUCGAAAAAGGAGAUGCUUCUGCAACAUCUCAAAGAUAAUCUAUUCAGACGGUAGAGGGCAGAUUUCCCUUGUGGUAAGGCAGAAACACAUCAAAAGGCCUCUACAAGAGGAGAGAUUACCAUUAUCUUCAAGUGUGUGCUAGUGCUACUAUAUGUGAUGAAUUGGUAAAAAUGCUUUGGCAGUCUCUUAUGCUUACUGUAACCUGUUAUGUAGUUUUCUUGGUAUAGCGGGUUAAUCUUAAGCUUUUCUUUUAUGAUCAUUGAGAUCUGA